rnacentral:misc_RNA from 1 species
GAUGAAGAACGUAGCGAAAUGCGAUAAUUAAUGUGAAUUGCAGAAUUCCGUGAAUCAUCGAGUCUUUGAACGCACAUUGCGCCUCAUGGCAUUCCGUGAGGCAUGCCCAUCUCAGCGUUAGAAAAUAUUCUCAAAUUUUAGUUUUGUGCUAAAAUUUGGAUCAUGUCAAGGAAGCUAUUACUAUUAUUGUGAUCGCUCUUUGGAAAUUGAUAGGUCUUUGAGUUGCUACUCAUAGAACGUGAUGAAUCUUUCUUCGUUCUAUUGUAAUUCACUCUGGUAGUCCUAAAACUUGUAUGCCUGUGGCAUAUCUUGUAAUUUGAACUGAGAUUGGGUAGGGAUACCCGCUGAACUUAAGCAUAUCAAUAAGCGGAGGA